rnacentral:rRNA from 1 species
GGCGGCGCGCCUAACACAUGCAAGUCGAACGAGAAAGUGGAGCAAUCCAUGAGUAAAGUGGCGUACGGGUGAGUAACACGUGGAUAAUCUGCCCUUUAGUGGGGAAUACCGCUGGGAAACCGGCGACAAUACCGCAUAAGCUCGAGAGAGGAAAGCAGCAAUGCGCUGAAGGAGGAGUCCGCGGUCGAUUAGCUAGUUGGUGAGGUAAUGGCUCACCAAGGCUGUGAUCGAUAGCCGGCCUGAGAGGGCACACGGCCACACUGGCACUGAAACACGGGCCAGACUCCUACGGGAGGCAGCAGUGGGGAAUCUUGCACAAUGGGGGCAACCCUGAUGCAGCGACGCCGCGUGAGCGAUGAAGCCCUUCGGGGUGUAAAGCUCUUUCGGCAGGGAAGAUUAUGACGGUACCUGCAGAAGCAGCUGCGGCUAACUACGUGCCAGCAGCCGCGGUAAUACGUAGGCAGCAAGCGUUGUUCGGAGUUACUGGGCGUAAAGGGUGCGU